rnacentral:lncRNA from 1 species
GUGUUUAGGGUUUAGAGUUGAAGUUUAGGGUUUAGGGUUUAGAAUUGAUGUUUUAGGGUUUAGAGUUGAUGUUCCGGGGUUUAGAGUUUAAAGUUGAUGUUUCAGGGUUUAGGGUUCAUAUUUCAAAAAAAAAUAGGGUUUAGGAUUUACGGUUUAGGGUUUAGCUUUCAUAUUUCAAAAAUAAAAUAGGGUUUAGGAUUGAUGGUUUAGGGUUUAGAGUUGAGUUUUAGGGUUUAGGGUUUGAAUUUCGAAAUAGUAUAAUUCGAAAAAAAAUUAAAAAAUUAUUUUUUA